GACGAACGCUGGCGGCGUGCUUAACACAUGCAAGUCGAACGGAAAGGCCCUGCUUUUGUGGGGUGCUCGAGUGGCGAACGGGUGAGUAACACGUGAGUAACCUGCCCUUGACUUUGGGAUAACUUCAGGAAACUGGGGCUAAUACCGGAUAGGAGCUCCUGCUGCAUGUUGGGGAUUGGAAAGUUUCGGCGGUUGGGGCUGGACUCGCGGGUUCUCAGCUUGUUGGUGGGGUAGUUGCUUACCAAGGCUUUGACGGGUAGCCCGCCCGGGAGGUGGGACGGGCACCAUGGGCCUGCGGUAGGGCCCAGAAUGCAAUCGGCGGCAAGGGGGGGGAAUCUGGCGGAACGGGGCGGAGUCUGAGGUGAGAAUCCCGGGGUCGGGAAGCUCGGCUUUUGGGUGUGAACCUAUUUGGGCGUUGACGAAGACGGAGUGACGGUAAUUGGUAAAAAAGCCACGGCUAACUACGUG
rnacentral:rRNA from 1 species